CCUGACUCCUUGAGAGUCCUGAAGGAACGUUGAAGACGACGACGUUGAUAGGUCGGGUGUGUAAGCGUAGCGAUACGUUGAGCUAACCGAUACUAAUGAACCGUGAGGCUUAACCUUACAACGCCGAAGC
rnacentral:rRNA from 1 species